UUGGAGGAACUCGAAAAUCCAAAUUAAUAGAGUAGGGA
rfam:Flavobacterium sp. 316 scaffold_8, whole genome shotgun sequence.